CGCCUUUUCAGCAGAGUCAAAGUUAAAUGCCGUCCCCCCAUGGGUGAAAUGCAACAUGGCCAGGUAUCUCAUGGAGUAUUGGAUGUUUAAGUUCCUUAAUUCUUUUUUAACAUCAUCAAAUGUUCUUCUCCUCUUGACCAGGGCUCCUGAAAAAUCUUGAAAAAACAUUAUCUUUGAACCUUUAUACAUUAAGACUUGCGAGUUCUUUCCCAAUCUUCUUGCUGCUUCCACUAUUAAUUUUUUUUCUUUAUAAUACAGGAGCUGCACUAGGACCAUACAGGGGCGCUGCUCCAGCCAGGCCCUGCGUGUUGUGAUCCAAUAGGCCUGCUCCACACCUACCAGGCCCAACUGCAAUUCUAACUGCAGGAACUUCGGGAGCCAUCCGUGCAGGAAACCAGUGAGAUCUUCGCAUUCUUCAUGUUCCGGGAGGCCCAUGAUCCUGCUAGAAUCCAGAAUUUUAUCUGAAAAUGUUACUCUGAAUCCUUCCCUGGAUCGAUUACAAACACUUUUCCCAACAGAACGUAGAGAGGAGCGAGAUGGUCUCUGCCAGAAUACACAGAUGAUAAUGGAGGCCGACUACUAAAAGAUUCUUGAUGAUCAC